CCUACGGGAGGCAGCAGUAGGGAAUAUUGCACAAUGAGGGGAACCCUGAUGUAGCGACGCCGCGUGGGUGAAGGAGUACUUCGGUACGUAAAGCCCUAUCAGCAGGGAAGAAAAUGACGGUACCUGACUAAGAAGCCCCGGCUAACUACGUGCCAGCAGCCGCGGUAAUACGUAGGGGGCAAGCGUGAUCCGGAUUUACUGUGGGGAAAGGGAGCGUAGACGGCAGUGCAAGUCCGGGGUGAAAGCCCGGGGCUCAACCCCGGGACUGCUCUGGAGACUGUAAAGCUGGAGUGCGGUAGGGGCAGGCGGAAUUCCUGGUGUAGCGGUGAAAUGCGUAGAUAUCAGGAAGAACACCGGGGGCGAAGGCGGCCUGCUGGAUCGUAACUGACGUUGAGGCUCGAAAGCGUGGGGAGCAAACAGGAUUAGAUACCCGUGUAGUC
rnacentral:rRNA from 1 species